UGGCAAAACAAAGAACACAACAAGAACGUAACGUUACAAAGUGAGUGACACAUCCAGGACGUUUUUUUAGAACACAUCGAUCCAUCGACAUGAACGUUAGCACUUCCUGUGUCACAAGGAAGCGCCCGAAAGGAACGUGAUGUUUUGGCUGUAAUGGCUGCCAGGUGUUUAGAAACAUUCCAAAAUGGCCACCCGUAGCGAUAGUUCCUAAAAUGGAUGCCACAAAACGUAAAACUGAUAUUUAAACAGAUGGCAAUGUAAUGGAAGGUGAAAUCGGAGCGCACAUUUGGGCAAAGGUUCCAAGAAAUUAUUAAUUAAACGAUUCAUGGUUUUAGCCUAAGAUCAAAGCUACCACUGUUCUGUUUUUUUUUUUUUUUUUUAACAUCUUAAUGCUAACAUUCAUGACAGUUAAGAGGGCUUGGACUGCCUUGGAGGUUGCAUUUGUGUAGAUUUUUAUUUUCAGUGGAUACAUAAUGUGUGUAAUCACGAGUUGAAGGACUUCAGAUGAUGAUAGUGAGUGUUGGGAGUGGGGGGGGGCAUUAAUCAGUGCAAAAAACCAGCUUCUCACCGCAGUGCAAAAGUGUGGAGGGCAGCGCGCAGUCCGACUCAGUGGUACAAUGCAAAGCUACAUAAGUACUGGCCCAGAGACGCAUCAGUGCACGCACACGCACACGCACACACACACACCAUUAUCGGAUGGCCAAAGAUAUGCCUGUGGACAUAUUCCGACAACGUGACAUGACACACGGUGUCAUAUGCAGAAGUACAAUUCCGCCCCCUAUUAUCUUUAUGGGCCAAAUCACAGUUCUCUGUGGGAACGCACUGAUAACCAGUCAUUCGUCCUUCCUCUUAAAGCAUAUGUUAAAAAUAAAAUAAAAUAAAACACACACGCUGCAGAGGAUGGAUGCAAGGGGUCCCUUCGAACACAAUGACGCUUUUCAUAGUUUGUGACGAUCAGGCAGAAAAUCGACCCAACGUGGAGCAAGAGUGACGUGUGCAGCCGUACAACAGCUUUCAAACUAGAGGAAAGCUGCAGCGCAUUGAACAUUUCGGGAUCACGUGGGAACGUCGGAAUAAUCAAUGCGAAACAACAGCCCGCGGCCAAAUGCAAGCGCGGAAGCCGGUCAUUUGCGAGAAGGUGCAGUCGCCAAAUUUUUAUCCGCACGGUCAACGGUCCCCAUUUUGACUCUCAUCUCAACCUGCAAAUGCUUCUGUGAUACCUAUUUUUUUUUUCAUUCAAUGGAGAAGCGAGCCUCCGCAUUUUCCUAAAUAAACCAAAAUAAAAGUUAAACUCACCAUUGGAAGAUUCUUGACAGACAUGUCAUCUAAUAGUGUCUCUCAUCUAAUAGUGUCUCCGGUCCUCUCCACGCAACUCAAUGAGCCAUUCUGCUAUCAAGCUACAUUCUAUUUUCAUCUGAGUAUGCGCUGUGAAAUUAAUUUGCGAAAAGAGUUCAGUGAUAAGUUACUGAAUUCUAGGGCUCUUCGUAUUGAGCAGCUAGACCAUUUCCCAUUGUACGAAGAGCAUCGGUCCUUUUAUCACCGGUAGCUCUGUGGGGCCAUCACACAAACAAAAUCAUUGCUGCGAUUUGCCUGCACAGUGAAGGCCCGAAUUCAAAUCGGAUGAACUUUUGAGGCAUAUUCAUCCAGAAAACAUGACGUAAACAAGAAUACACAGAAAUAAAUUUCAAUUCAAGCUACUAGAUGGCUUGCAAAUUCUCCGAGGAGCAACAGAUCCAACAAUAGAAUGAGAGAGCGCAGGGAUUCCAUAAACGCGUGUAGAGCGUCCCACUGAGAACAACGCAAGCGGAUUGGUCGCUCGGGAGAAAAAAAAAAAAAAAAUCCUGGGAAAGUUGCUCUAGUCCCUGUUAGAAAAUGAUUUUCUAAGCACUGCCGCCCCAAAUUUCUCACCAUCUGGGAUGACUACGGGCGCCUCGGUCGCCUCUGUCAAGCGCGAGCCCGAUUCAGAGGAGCGCGACGACUCCUUCGAGGACUCCCUCUUGCUCGCAUGCCUCCUGGAGCUCUUCCGGUCACACAUGAGCACGACAGUCUCUCGCUCCUUUUUUUUUUUUUUUUUUGCCUCCCCUGACUCUUCCUUACAGCUGUCGACUCAUGGCCCUGUUUCCCAGCGUCUCCGGGUCAGCUUGGCGGUUGCCCUCAUGCGCGGGG